rfam:Triticum aestivum genome assembly, contig: Triticum_aestivum_CS42_TGACv1_scaffold_195309_3AL
UUAGUACUCCCGUCGUCCAAAAAUUCUUGUCUUAGAUUACUCUAGAUACGGAUGUAUGUAGAUACGAAUAGAUACAUCCGUAUCUAGACUAAUCUAAGACAAGAAUUUUGGGACGGAGGGAGUAGUUU